UACGUAGGGCGCAAGCGUUGUCCGGAAUUAUUGGGCGUAAAGAGCUCGUAGGCGGCUUGUCACGUCGGAUGUGAAAGCCCGGGGCUUAACCCCGGGUCUGCAUUCGAUACGGGCAGGCUAGAGUUCGGUAGGGGAGAUCGGAAUUCCUGGUGUAGCGGUGAAAUGCGCAGAUAUCAGGAGGAACACCGGUGGCGAAGGCGGAUCUCUGGGCCGAUACUGACGCUGAGGCACGAAGGCCAGGGGAGCAAACGGG
rnacentral:rRNA from 1 species